rnacentral:rRNA from 1 species
GAUGAACGCUAGCGGGAGCUUAACACAUGCAAGUCGAGGGCAUCACGAGGUAGCAAUACUUUGGUGGCGACCGGCGCACGGGUGAGUAACACGUAUGCAACCUACCCUGUACAGGGGGAUAACCCGGAGAAAUUCGGACUAAUAUCCCAUGCAAUUAUUGGAGGGCAUCCUUUGAUAAUUAAAGCUCAGGCGGUAUAGGAUGGGCAUGCGGAACAUUAGCUAGUUGGUAGGGUAACGGCCUACCAAGGCUACGAUGUUUAGGGGACCUGAGAGGGUUAUCCCCCACACUGGUACUGAGACACGGACCAGACUCCUACGGGAGGCAGCAGUGAGGAAUAUUGGUCAAUGGGCGCAAGCCUGAACCAGCCAUCCCGCGUGAAGGAAGAAGGCCCUAUGGGUUGUAAACUUCUUUUCCAGGGGGUGAAUAAUUUCCGAUGUAUCGGGAGAUGACGGUACCGUGGGAAUAAGCAUCGGCUAACUCCGUG